rnacentral:rRNA from 1 species
GACGAACCGAGCGAACGUUGUUCGGAAUCACUGGGCUUAAAGGGCGCGUAGGCGGGUUCGCAAGUCUGUGGUGAAAGCCUCCAGCUUAACUGGAGAAGUGCCGUGGAUACUGCGAAUCUUGAGGAGGGUAGGGGCGUCUGGAACGGUCGGUGGAGCGGUGAAAUGCGUUGAUAUCGACCGGAACUCCGGUGGCGAAGGCGAGGCGCUGGACCCUUUCUGACGCUGAGGCGCGAAAGCCAGGGGAGCAAACGGG